rnacentral:rRNA from 1 species
GACGAACGCUGGCGGCGUGCUUAACACAUGCAAGUCGAACGGAAAGGCCCUUCGGGGUACUCGAGUGGCGAACGGGUGAGUAACACGUGGGUGAUCUGCCCUGCACUUUGGGAUAAGCCUGGGAAACUGGGUCUAAUACUACAUAGGACCACGCGCUUCAUGGUGUGUGGUGGAAAGCUUUUGCGGUGUGGGCUGGGCCCGGGGCCUAUCAGCUAGUUGGUGGGGGAAUGGCGUACCAAGUCGACGACGGAUAGCCGGCAUGAGAGGGUGACCGGCGACACUGGGCCUGAGGUACGCACCAGAGGCCAACGGGAGGCAGUAGGGGGGACUCUUGUCCAAUGGGGGCGAGCCUGAGGCGACGACGCCCGGGGUGGGAUGCCGGCCUGCGCGGUGUAAACCCCUUUCAAUUGAGACGAAGCGGAAGUGACGGUACCUAAAGAAGAAGCACCGGCCAACUACGUG